rnacentral:lncRNA from 1 species
UUGUAGUGCAGGACUCCUCCCAUAUUCUCAGUAAAAUUCCAAUAGAUAAACUCCCAUUGUCAACAAAUACCCAGCAAAACUCCUAAGUCCAGCAGUUUCUUUCAACCUGCAUGUGGAAAACCAAUUGAAUAUACCAGCACUAUCAUUAUAAAUCAUUAACUACUAUAGUAAAACUCUCAAAUUUUGGAUGCAACAGAAUCAUUUACAAAUUCAAACUCAAUCUGCAUGCGCAACAGAAAUGAAUCUAGCCAAUACUAUCAUUAUAAAGAGUUAUCUAUUAAAGUAAAACUCCAACUUUCAGAUGCAACAUAAAUUAAUUCCUUGUUGCAAUAAAACAUGGAACUAAAAGGGUAUAUAUAAAAGCUGGUUAACUUUCCUACAAGUACGAAAAUAAGGAAGAAGCUUUGCUUUGAAUAAAAAGUAAGGAAAAAAUGAGGAAUGAAUUCUUAUGCUGAGAAAAUGGUUACUAUGUUGGGUCAACGAGACAUGGGAAAUUUGGGCUACAAUUCCUAUGUUACAAUGUUUCUCCAUCUCAUAAAUUGGUGCUGCAGAAAUAAAGUAUCAGAUUUAGUUAAAAAGUAGCAUUAUUUCAAACUUGAAAUCCAACAAGGAUGCAAUAUUAUAGUUUUUUCUUCUCCAUAUUUUCUCUCGCGGAGAUUCUUGGAAAACUUGAGAAAAAUCCAAGUUGUUCAAAGAACAUGUAACAAAUUAGUAAUCAAAACACCCAUCAAUAAAGAUGUUUCAUAAGAUCUGAGACAUAUAUGUUUGUUGAUCAAUGUCAUUCAUAGCCAAAAACAAGUAUUUAUCAAAAAUCCAAUCCCAUAAAUUCCCAACAAAUAGUUUCCCCCAAUAAACACUUAUUUUGAAGUCAAAACCACAUCAUGUUAAAACAAAUUCUUAUCAAAUAAAUAGUGCUUUUUUACGAUAAUAACAGUAAACCAAUGAGAUAAUUGAAAAAAUUAAAUUAAAUAAGUGACCCCUAAGCAACUCAUUAGGUACUUAUCCUGAAGCAUUAUUAUGUAGACCAAUAUCUAUUACAAAUAUCUCAGUAAUGACUUGAUAAAAAGUGUUACCAAAUGAUAUGGAUUUAAUAAAAUAUAAUCAUCUUCUUGGCUCGGCUCUCCCUGUUUUCCACUGUUAUUGUCCAUGAAAAAUGAAUAUUUAAGUUAAAAUGCAACAAAAUGACCAACUCCAAGAUUAAGUAAUCACAAAAUUGAAAUAACCAAUGGAUCUAAAGCCAAAAGAGCCAUAUAAAUUACAACUGUUCUCUAAUAAAACAAGGCAAGGGAACAAAUACGUCAGCUUUUAUGUUUGCAUGCAUGUGAAAUGUAGUGACUAGUGAGAAUAGUUAAAAGGGAGAGCAAGAGCAAGUUUUAAGAGAGAUUUAAUGAAGUCAACUCUUUCACGCAAUAAGAAAUCGGUGAAUCACAUAAAUUAAUAUAUUUUUCUUAAUUUGAAAAGACCAAGCAAGCAAGCUUUACAUGAUAGUGGAAAAUUGCUUUUCCAGGAUUGCAUCACUGCACUUGCAAAACCACAGUGGGAUUUACAAGGACAUAUGAAAUGGUAAUCUCAACAAAUAUAGAAUGAUUUAACACAGUAUAUUAAGGCAAUUUUACAAUUAUUGUUCCGUGAAAACAUAAAAUCAAAAGAAAACUUAUUAUGCCACGAUAGAAAUGACUUCAAGAGAAUGAAGAAUUGGAAAUAACUAUUUCAGACCAUUUAUUGUAACAAGAGAAUUUCACACAAACUUCCUAGAAUUGGCAACCAAAUUUAUUUUCAGUCUUUAAUACAUAUUUGGUGCAUAAAAAAUCAGUUACCCUCUUUAGAUAAUAAUUCACCUCUCAAGAUAAACUAAGUAAACACAUGAUAACCAAAAUGAUGCAUUGCCUCAAAUAUGACCAUGAUAAAUUGGUUUAACUCACUCACCUGGACAUAAUGCACACCACCUAUUUUUGUUGGAUUGCUAACUAAUUCAAUGAUGGAAUUGCCAUUUGAUUUUCUAAAGUCUCGAAACCUAAAAGAGUUAUUUGUUGAAUCCAGAAAUUUCCAAGUCCCUGCACACAUCCAAAUAUGCCACUAGUCAAAUAUAUGUUGCAGUACAAUAUUGUGCUUAGACGUUCUCAAACGUCAUAAUUUUAUCAAUGCUUUUCACAAAUUAUAUUUGUAUUUCUUCAAUAAAAUAAAAAUGAGUAAGAAUGCAAAGCCAAACAAUUAUUAACAGGCUCAUCUGAGUGUAUAUCCUCCGACAUCUGACAAAAAUAGGCAACCUUACUCUAGCAAGUGAAAAAUUU